rnacentral:rRNA from 1 species
GGCGCACGGGUGAGUAACACGUGACUAAACUACCCUGGAGUGGGGAAUAAAUGAGGGAAACCUUAGCUAAUACCGCAUAAUACCUACGGGUCAAGAGGAGCAAUUCGCUUCAGGAGGGGGUCG